rnacentral:rRNA from 1 species
UACGAAGGGGGCUAGCGGUGCUCGGAAUCACUGGGCGUAAAGGGUUCGUAGGCGGCGUGUCGCGUCGGGAGUGAAAGACCGGGGCUUAACCCCGGGCGUGCAGUGGAUACGGGCAGGCUGGAGGCAGGCAGGGGAGAAUGGAAUUCCCGGUGUAGCGGUGAAAUGCGCAGAUAUCGGGAGGAACACCGGUGGCGAAGGCGGUUCUCUGGGCCUGUUCUGACGCUGAGGAGCGAAAGCGUGGGGAGCGAACAGG